rnacentral:rRNA from 1 species
AAAUCCUGUAAUCCUGGACGGACCGCCGGUAGCGAAAGCGUCUCUGGAGAACGGGACCCGACGGUGAGGAACGAAAGCUUGGGUCUCGAACCGGAUUAGAUACCCGGGUAGUCCAAGCCGUAAACGAUGCUCGCUAGGUGUGGCGUUGGCUACGAGCCAGCGCUGUGCCGUAGGGAAGCCGAGAAGCGAGCCGCCUGGGAAGUACGUCCGCAAGGAUGAAACUUAAAGGAAUUGGCGGGGGAGCACUACAACCGGAGGAGCCUGCGGUUUAAUUGGACUCAACGCCGGACAUCUCACCGGCACCGACAGUGUGCAGUGACAGUCAGUCUGAUGGGCUUACUUGAGCCACUGAGAGGAGGUGCAUGGCCGCCGUCAGCUCGUACCGUGAGGCGUCCUGUUAAGUCAGGCAACGAGCGAGACCCGCGUCCCUAAUUGCCAGCAGCAGCCUUGUGCUGGCUGGGUACAUUAGGGAGACUGCCGUCGCUAAGACGGAGGAAGGAACGGGCAACGGUAGGUCAGUAUGCCCCGAAUGUGCCGGGCGGCACGCGGGCUACAAUGGCCGGGACAGUGGGAUGCUACCCCGAGAGGGGACGCUAAUCUCCUAACCUCGGUCGUAGUUCGGAUUGCGGGUUGAAACCCACCCGCAUGAAGCUGGAUUCGGUAGUAAUCGCGUCUCAGAAG